CCACCCUGUCUUUCAAGUGGACGUUUUCCAAAUGACCCCGUCGUUUCAACAAGUGGUUAGAUGGAGAGAGAAAAUAUAUCAAGUGCUUAUAGUUAGUUAGCUCGUAGAUUUAUCAAAAGCAGAGUGGGUAGACUCUUUUUGUCGAUGUGCACAAGAGUAACUAACUUAACUAGCCCAUUUCGCCUGCUGGGUUCUUCUAGAUGUAGCGACCUUACGUUAAGUAGCUCAAUCUAGUCAAGUAAUUUAGUCAACAAACAUUGAACACAGAAACUAAACAUUUUGAUUUCCUUGCUCCAAUAUGGGGAUGUGUUUACCGUGCCUUGGUGGAUCUGGAAACGCCUCGUCCCCCACACCAGAUCGAGAGACAAGGAGACGUCAGCUGGCAGAGACAGCUGAGCAGAGACAGAAAGAGAAAUUCUUCAGUCAAAGCCAAUUGUAUCCAACCCAUAAAGCAUGUCGGCCUACUAAAGCAUCGAGACAACCUAAAGGGGCGUCAAAAACCCCCAAGCAGUUGAGAGAAAUAAAAAGAAUAAGGAGAUGGAGAAACAAGAGAUGAGACCGUCUGCACCUGGAGGAGGAGGAGGGCUGAAGGUAGGCUAAAGAUGGACAUGGAGAGAUCCUGGAAGUCUCAAUCUAGACUGAGGUUCAGCUAACAACAUGAAGAGUGUUGGUACCAGUUGACUUGAAAAGGCUUUUUUUGGGUGUUGGCCCUUCUACUACAUUUUUAAAAUAUUUUUAAAUGCAAGCUUCUUUUUUUUAGAGGGGAUUGUUUGCCAGGCUUCAACACUGGUAGAAAAUAAAUAAAGAUUCUACUGCCCAAUGUUGGCAGUGUGAAUCACAGGACGUGCCUCCCUUAAUGCCAAGAUAUACAAGAGAAUGUGCAAGCCAGCCAAUGGAGCUUUGGAACGGACAGGGUGGCAUAGCUAUGAAUAGAAUAUACACACUCAGAGGAAAUAUGCUCACACUACAUCUAUAAACUGUACCAGGCAUCUUGCAGCGUACUCUCUCUUUGUCCUCUCUCCUCGCGCUCCUCCUCCUUUCUCUCAGCCAUUUCAGCUUUAACACCAUGGUGCUUUCUUCUGCUGAGGAAUAUGCUCACACUACAUCUAUAAACUGUACCAGGUAUCUUGCAGCGUACUCUCUCUUUGUCCUCUCUCCUCGCGCUCCUCCUCCUUUCUCAGCCAUUUCAGCUUGACCAGCUUUAACACCAUGGUGCUUUCUUCUGCUGAGGAAUAUUCUCAUUGUGACCUAUUGACCUAUUUACUGUAUAGUACAUUUUCCUUCUAAAAUGAUUUUAUGCAACAAAGUCCUUUUAGUGUUCAAAAUAGGCCUAGAUGAUUCAAAUGACGUUUUCUAUUGUAGAUCAGUUAAAUCAAAUUUUAUUUGUCACAUACACAUGGUUAGCAAAGGUUAAUGCGAGUGUAGGGAAAUGCUUGUGCUUCUAGUUCCGACAAUGCAGUAAUAACCAACAAGUAAUUAACUAACAAUUCCAAAACUACUGUCUUAUACACACAAGUGUAAGGGGAUAAAGAAUAUGUACAUAAAGAUAUAUGAAUGAGUGAUGGUACAGAGCAGCAUAGGCAAGAUACAGUAGAUGGUAUCGAGUACAGUAUAUACAUGUGAGAUGAGUAUGUAAACAAAGUGGCAUAGUUAGUGGCUAGUGAUACAUGUAUUACAUAAGGAUGCAGUCGAUGAUAUAGAGUACAGUAUAUACGUAUACAUAUGAGAUGAAUAAUGUAGGGUAAGUAACAUUAUAUAAGGUAGCAUUGUUUAAAGUGGCUAGUGAUAUAUUUACAUUUCCCAUCAAUUCCAAUUAUUAAAGUGGCUGGAGUUGA